UACGGAGGGUGCAAGCGUUGUUCGGAAUUACUGGGCGUAAAGGCUCGUAGGCGGCCAACUAAGUCAUACGUGAAAUCCCUCAGCUUAACUGGGGAACUGCGUGUGAUACUGGAUGGCUUGGAUUUGGGAGAGGGAUGCGGAAUUCCAGGUGUAGCGGUGAAAUGCGUAGAUAUCUGGAGGAACACCGGUGGCGAAGGCGGCAUCCUGGACCAAUAUUGACGCUGAGGAGCGAAAGCUAGGGGAGCAAACGGG
rnacentral:rRNA from 1 species